rnacentral:rRNA from 1 species
UCGGUAAUUCCAGCUCCAAUAGCGUAUAUUAAAGUUGUUGCCGUUAAAAAGCUCGUAGUCGAACUUCGGGUCCUGUCCGCCGGUCCGCCUUCUUGGUGUGUACUUGUUGGAUGGGACCUUACCUCCUGGUGAACGGCGAUGUCCUUUACUGGGUGUCGUCGCAAACCAGGACGUUUACUUUGAAAAAAUUAGAGUGUUCAAAGCAGGCCUUUGCCCGAAUACAUUAGCAUGGAAUAAUAGAGUAGGACGCGCGUUCCCAUUUUGUUGGUUUCUGAGAUCGCCGUAAUGAUUAAUAGGGAUAGUUGGGGGCAUUUGUAUUCCGACGUCAGAGGUGAAAUUCUUGGAUUGCCGGAAGACAAACUACUGCGAAAGCAUUUGCCAAGGAUGUUUUCAUUGAUCAAGAACGAAGGAAGGGGGAUCGAAAACGAUUAGAUACCGUUGUAGUCUCUUCUGUAAACUAUGCCAAUUGGGGACCGGCACAGGAUUUUUAAUGACUGUGUCGGCACCCGAAGAGAAAUCUUUAAAUGAGGUUCGGGGGGGAGUAUGGUCGCAAGGCUGAAACUUAAAGGAAUUGACGGAAGGGCACCACCAGGUGUGGAGCCUGCGGCUUAAUUUGACUCAACACGGGA